UACGUAGGGUGCGAGCGUUGUCCGGAAUUAUUGGGCGUAAAGAGCUCGUAGGCGGUUUGUCGCGUCUGCUGUGAAAACCUAAGGCUCAACCUUGGGCUUGCAGUGGGUACGGGCAGACUAGAGUGCGGUAGGGGUGACUGGAAUUCCUGGUGUAGCGGUGGAAUGCGCAGAUAUCAGGAGGAACACCGAUGGCGAAGGCAGGUCACUGGGC
rnacentral:rRNA from 1 species